UAAAGCUCUGUCAGGAGUUAAGAAAAUGUAAGUGUGCUAAUACCACAUUUAUUUGACGAAGGCUCCAAAGGAAGCCACGGCUAACUCUGUGCCAGCAGCCGCGGUAAUACAGAGGUGGCAAGCGUUGUUCGGAAUUAUUGGGCGUAAAGAGCACGUAGGUGGGUUUGUAAGUCAGAUGUGAAAGCCUUCUGUUCAACGGAAGAAUUGCAUCUGAAACUGCGAGUCUUGAGUGUAGGAGGGGAGAAUGGAACUUCUGGUGGAGCGGUGAAAUGCGUAGAUAUCAGAAGGAACGCCGGCGGCGAAAGCGAUUCUCUGGCCUAUUACUGACGCUCAGUGUGCGAAAGCUAGGGGAGCAAACGGGAUUAGAUACCCCGGUAGUCCUAGCCGUAAACGAUGGGCACUAAGUAGAGGGAAUUACCGAUGUUCUCUCUGCCGUAGCUAACGCAUUAAGUGCCCCGCCUGGGGAGUACGGCCGCAAGGCUAAAACUCAAAAGAAUUGACGGGGGCUCGCACAAGCGGUGGAGCAUGUGGCUUAAUUCGAUGCAACGCGAAGAACCUUACCGGGGCUUGACAUGGUAGAAGUAGGAACCCGAAAGGGUAACGAACGGUAUCCAGUCCGUAACUAUCACAGGUGUUGCAUGGCUGUCGUCAGCUCGUGUCGUGAGACGUUGGGUUAAGUCCCCUAACGAGCGAAACCCUUGUUUUUAGUUACCAGCGGGUUGUGCCGGGUACUCUAGAAAGACUGCCGUCGUCAAGACGGAGGAAGGUGGGGAUGACGUCAAGUCAUCAUGGCCCUUAUGCCCCGGGCUGCACACGUGCUACAAUGGUCGGUACAAACGGAAGCGAAGCCGAGAGGUGAAGCGAAUCCUAAAAAGCCGGUCUCAGUUCGGAUUGGAGGCUGAAAUUCGCCCCA
rnacentral:rRNA from 1 species